ACUUUUUGUAGAACGGGCCAACGAGUUACGUUAAGUAGCAAGGUUAAGCACUUAAGGUGCGGAGCCGUAGCGAAAGCGAGUUUUAACUGAGCGUUCAGUUACUUGACGUAGACCCGAAACCGGGCGACCUACCCAUGAGCAGGAUGAAGCGAAAGUAAAAUUUCGUGGAGGUCCGAACCCACGAGCGUUGAAAAGCUCGGGGAUGACUUGUGGGUAGCGGUGAAAUUCCAAUCGAGCCCGGAGAUAGCUGGUUCUCCCCGAAAUAGCUUUAGGGCUAGCCUCAAGGUGAGAGAUACGGAGGUAGAGCACUGAAUGUCCUAGGGGGUAUUGCACCUACCGAAGACUAUCAAACUCCGAAUGCCGUCAUCUUAUACUUGGGAGUCAGACUGUGGGUGAUAAGAUUCAUAGUCGAAAGGGCAACAGCCCAGAUCGUCAGCUAAGGUCCCUAAAUGUAAGUUAAGUGGUAAAGGAUGUGGGAUUGCACAGACAACCAGGAUGUUGGCUUAGAAGCAGCCACUCAUUCAAAGAGUGCGUAAUAGCUCACUGGUCGAGUGAUCCUGCGCCGAAGAUUUCCGGGGCUAAAACUUACUACCGAAGCUACGGCAUCAGUAAUGAUGGGUAGGGGAGCUUCCCAUA
rnacentral:rRNA from 1 species